rnacentral:rRNA from 1 species
GAUGAACGCUAGCGGCAGGCUUAAUACAUGCAAGUCGAGGGGCAGCAGUUUUGUAGCAAUACAGAAGCUGGCGACCGGCAAACGGGUGCGGAACACGUACGCAACCUUCCUUUAACUGGGAGAUAGCCCACCGAAAGGUGGAUUAAUAUCCCAUAAUAUAACUGAAUGGCAUCAUUUAGAUAUUAAAGCUCCGGCGGUUAAAGAUGGGCGUGCGUCUGAUUAGGUAGUUGGCGGGGUAACGGCCCACCAAGCCUUCGAUCAGUAGCUGAUGUGAGAGCAAGAUCAGCCAAACGGGCACUGAGAGACGGGCCCGAAUCCUACGGGAGGCAGCAGUAAGGAAUAUUGGUCAAUGGACGCAAGUCUGAACCAGCCAUGCCGCGUGGAGGAUGAAGGCCCUCUGGGUUGUAAACUUCUUUUCUUUGGGACGAAACCCCUGUUUCUACGGGGACUGACGGUACCAGAGGAAUAAGCACCGGCUAACUCCGUGCCAGCCGCCGCAGUAA